CCUACGGGAGGCAGCAGUGGGGAAUAUUGCACAAUGGGGGAAACCCUGAUGCAGCGACGCCGCGUGAGUGAAGAAGUAUUUCGGUAUGUAAAGCUCUAUCAGCAGGGAAGAAGGAAGACGGUACCUGACUAAGAAGCCCUGGCUAACUACGUGCCAGCAGCAGCGGUAAAACGGAGGGGGCAAGCGUUAAUCGGAUUUACUGGGUGUAAAGGGAGCGUAGACGGCGGUGCAAGUCUGAAGUGAAAGCCCCGGGCUCAACCCUGGGACUGCUUUGGAAACUGUGGAGCUAGAGUGCUGGAGAGGUGAGUGGAAUUCCAGGUGUAGCGGUGAAAUGCGUAGAUAUUAGGAGGAACACCAGUGGCGAAGGCGGCUUACUGGACAGUAACUGACGUUGAGGCUCGAAAGCGUGGGGAGCAAACAGGAUUAGAUACCCGUGUAGUC
rnacentral:rRNA from 1 species